rnacentral:lncRNA from 1 species
UGAGGGCGAUUUUGUUGAGGAUGACGAGAGGGUUUUUGUUUCUUUGUUACUAUGCUUCAUUUUCCUUUCAGUUUAUUUUUUUUUAUUAUUACUUUAAAUAAGACAAAUGAUUUAAUCCAUAAUAAUACAUUUAGUUUUCCUUUGUAUUCCUAAUUCAUUUCUCUUUUGAAAACCCAACAGCCAGGCGGCUGGGUUUUAAUUUUUGUCCCUCCAUCAUUUAUUAGGAUAGUCCAACAGAUUUCCUUUCUAUUAGUUUUUUUAUUUUAAUUCUUUUUUUAAUUUAUCUUGGUUUAUAUAUCUAAAUUAGUAUUAAAAUAAUAACUAGUCAUAGGUGAUCUGGUGGAGAGGGUUGGUUUCUAUGGUCUUUAGUGGAGUGGGUUCGAUACUUAUGUGUAGUAUUUUUAUUUCUUUUAACAUUUUCUUUUAUGUUUAUGCUUUAUUAUAUUCAUGGUUUCAUUAUCAUAACAUAGAUUUG